GUCUGGUUUAGUCCUGGUGCAGUCCUGGUUGAGUCCUGAUUGAGUCCAGGGUUAGUCCUGGUGCAGUUCUGGUUUAGUCCUGGUUUAGUCCCAGUUUUGUCCUGGUGCCCUCUGGUUGAGUCAUGGUUUAGUUCUGUUUUAGUCCUAGUUUAGUCCUGGUGUACUCCUGUUUUAAUCCUGGUUUAGUCCCAGUUAGCCCUGGCGGUCCCUGGUUUAGUUCUGGUUUAGACCUGGUUAAGUCCUGGUUUAGUAUCCAAAAGUAGACAUCCUCACAUCACUUUAUGACUGAUGAGUAGUAGCAGAGGGCAGUGUACUUUCUAACAUGUGUUCCAGAGUAAAAAGAAGGAUUAGUCUGUGUGCUUUCUCUUUAAGUGUUUCCUGCUCUGUAAACGUUUGUCGGGAUUGACAGAUUUGGGGGAGAAUCUCACACAAACAACAGCGGCAAGCGGUACAGACUGGCUUUGACAAGAUUACACUAGUUUGAAGUUUUGAACUACAUUUAAGAUCAUUUUUGACUGGGCAAUUUUGAACCCAUCAUUUUGUAGUUUUUUUUUAAAGCAGAUACCAAUUUCCAGUAUUUGUCUGUUACUGUGGCCAAUAACUAAUAUUUAUGUUAAAGGUACAGUAGAGGUGUCGCCUCAUCUGUAUGAUUCCAUGAAAAAACGUGAAUAACACGUAGUCACACAGGGACUGGGGCAAAACUGGUGCCAAAUAUCUGUUAUAUUGUCAGUAUCGGACCUGUACCGAUAUCUGGGAAACCCCCUGGUAUAAUAUUGGAAACAAUAUGUUGCCCAAAGUUUUCGUUUCUUAGAUACCGUAUUUUGUGCACUAUAGAUUAUAAGGCGCACUGUCAUUGAAUGGUUUAUUUUCAAACUUUUUUCACAUAUAAACCGCACCGGACUAUAAGGCGCAUUAAAUGAAACACAACAGUUAGAUAAGUCAGUCAAACUUUAUUUAACGCGUUCACAAUAACUCUCAACUUUGUUCAAUUGUAACGCAUAAAAAAAUCCUGUCUGAGACGCUAAAUUGUUGGUGUAUUCACAAUAAGUCAUCAUUGUUCAAACAGUUGGGCGAUUACGACAUCCAGCACGCCCACAUCCCUCUCGUCAUUAUCCGAGUCAGUGUGGUUUCUGUUCCCUGGCAGUUCAGUGAUGAUUCCGGUCUUUCCUAGCUUUUCCGGUGAAAGCUCGGGCCACAGUUGAUACUGAUUCUUAGCCCAGGCGUACACAAUCCGUUGGCUGUAAGUCGCUCUGCGUUGUCUCCCUGUCUUGAUGAAUGGGUGUUCUCCUUCUCUCAUCCACUGCUUCCACGCAGCUCACACUUUAACUUUAUAACAGCCUUGAGUUUAAAGUCGGCGUUGUGAGCGUGUCUCUUGACAGGUGCAUUUUGAUAUUAAAAGAAAUCACAGUAUGUAUUACUCCGUGAUGCUCCUGACUACAAUAGCCGUAAUGUUGCAAGUGGUGCAGCUUUAUAGUUUACUAAAGUCGUACUAAGACACCCCAAUAAAUUCAUAUAUAAGGCUCUCUGGAUUAUAAGGUGCAGAGUUGGUUUUUUUUUUAAUGAAAUUAAAGGCUUUUAAGUGUGCCCUAUAGUGCGAAAAAUACGGUAAUCUUACAUUUCCUCUAUACUGUACAACAUUGAUUGAUUGUCGUUAACCAAACAAUCAGUCAAUUAACAACCAUUUUGUAACACCAUUUUUGAUUUGUAAUUAAAAAAUUGCUUUAAGACUACAGGAUAUUCUAUUUUUAUUUUAGUAAUCUUUUAGAAAAGCUGGAAAAUGUUACAUUUUAGCUUGUCUCUUGCUACCUUUUUUGCUACUUACUUAGAAUUUAUUAUUACCAUUUAUAUUUUUUCUCUUUGUUAUUAUAUUAUAUUAUAUUAUAUUAUAUUACGAUGUGUGAGCUACUGUGUCCAAAUAAUUUCCACUGUGGAUCCAUAAAGUUUGUACAAGUCUAAGUCUAAGAUAGCAUUUUGUUUUUCCUCUACUCUGUACAACAUAUUGAUUGAUCGUUGUUGUGUUUUUAACCAAUCAAUCAACCAAUUACCAGCCAUUAUGUAAAACAGUUUGACAAUCCAGUUCCCCUAACUGUGACAAACGUGCUCUCAUCUUUCUUCCUGUGUUUUUCUAUGGUGAUGCGCUCUGCUGUUGUCGCUGUGGUGGACUUCCUCUUCUCCUCUUCAGUUUGUAAGUACACCUCUCCUCCAUCACUCUCUCCUCUCCAGGGCUGUGUCAGGGCUUUGUACCCAGCUGCCUCCCCUCACGGCUGGGGCGCGUGGCGGGACAAGGGGCCCUCUGAUGGAUGGGACAGGGCAGGACCGAGGGGGGUACAGACUGAAAUGAGACGUAUCCUGUCCUGUAUAUCGUCCAUCACCCGCCUGCCAAUCAAAAUGUCCCUGUGGCUAUCUGUCUUAUGGGUGACAGGAUCUGCUCCUGCCAGGCCUGUAACAACAAAUACUCAAACUGAUACAUAGCUAUAAAAAAUAUCAUGAUUAAAGGCCCUGAAUAAGAUUUGUUCCAUGUAUUUGAGGAAAAUUAGUCUGAUAUGUCGUAAAAGCUGCUCUCGAGGUCAAAAUAAGUCUGCUUCGUGUUGUUUGGAUCUGAUUAUAAAGCUUUUUAUUGUCCAAGAAUCAGGAAGUGCAGCAUGCUAGUUGUUGUUAGAAUUAUCGUGACGGCAAAACUCUGCUCUGGUCUCUGAGAGUUGUGAAAAGCACUAGUAAACUUUAUUAAACUCAUUGUGGUGAAUAAUUAGAAUACUUUUGAGGAAUAACUUUGAACCACUGCAAACUGUUUAAAAUGAUUUUGUUCUGUUUUUCAUGUAUUUAAGACAAUAAAAUGUACAGUACCUUUAACGAUACAAAAAAUUAAGAAAAAAAAUAAAAAAUAUUCAUUUUACAUCAAAAUGAUGCAAGCAAUAAGGGUUAAAUCACUAUAUACAGUAUAUUGUUCCAACUUUCAUUCAUAAAACAAGAAGUCGGUAUAGAAAUUAUCCUGCAGAGUGAAAUACCCAAUCCAAAGUUGUGAGUUAAAGCAGUACAUUUUUCUGGUAGAAGGUACAGCCACCUGCUUGACUUUCCUUAUAAUGUCCCACAGUGGUGACAGGCCAAGUGCGAUAUGAUUUAUUUAAUUUUUGUUGAGGAAAACUGCCUUUUUCUCUCAUGUUCGUUAGUUCGUUAGUUCCUAAAAAAACACACUUAAAACAGAAAUAAACCCCAGAUAAAUUACAUGGCCAUACCAGCUUCAAACCAGCCUGAUCUUUUCAGAUUUCAGAAACUAAGCAGGGCCAGGCCUGUGUCCUUAGGUGAGGCACUUCACCCACAUGGCCUAGUAUGAAGGUGGUGUGCGUUAGUGUUGGUGGUGGUCGGAGAUGGUGCAGAUUGGCAGCCGUGCUUCCAUAAAUCUGCAAUAGUAGCUUACUGCCAAUGAGUAUGGAGUGAAUAAAUAAUGCUCUGUAAAGUGUCUUUGUGACAUAUGUCUGUGAAAAGUGCUAUUUAAAUAAAAACUUACUUACUUACUUACUUACUCCAAUAUUAGAAAGCCAUACAUGUACAAGGAGUCUGUGCUGACAUUCCCAAGCAGAGACUCAAUGUUUACGCCUAUACUAUGACUUUUAUACACAAACUAUUGUCCAACUACUGUCCAAUCACACUGCACACGGGCUGUUAUCUGGCUAACAAAUCAUGACAUCAUCCCUAUCAGUAGUUCUUGUCCUAUUUAGUUAGUUUGCUAUUAGAUAGAUUACAAUUUUAUGCAUUUGUCUUGACAUAUAUCUGUGAGUCUCAGAGCUGUGAUCAGAGCCCUUAUCUUCACAUGACCUCGGUACAAUAAUGAACUAUAGAAGUGGUUAUACAGAAUAGCUCAGCCUACUUAUUUAUCUUAACGUUUUCAAUAUUUUUUGUUGAUUAAAUGCAUAUAAAAUGACAACUUGUUGACUAAAACUAGACUAGAGCUGGUAGAAAUAUUAUAAACUUUCUUACAAUACAAAAUUACAGCGUUGUUGUAUCAAAAUGAACAUUGUACAUUGUUGAACAGAGUAGUAUUGACCUUUGCCCUGCCACUCGAAAAUACCUUUGUUCGCUUUGUUACAGUUCAUUGUACAACAGACUUUAACCUGUCCUUCGUCUUGAUUUUAGCCCGUAGUCCUUUUACACUGUUACGGCAUCACAUGAACAGAGCCUAUUCUUUUCUAACGCAGGUGCCCGUCCAGUCUCCCAUCCAUCUCCUGACUGACAGACACACAAAAGAGCAGAGCAGAGCGGAGCCAGACUGACAGCACCUUUAAUGACAAACGUACAGUCCGUCUACUACUUCCUCUCUCUCUCUCUGUCUCUGUCUUUCUCCCUCCAGCACAAAACCACAACACCGUCCUUCAUGUUAGAGGCCGUUAGACAAGCUGGUCCCUGCUCCGUAGUGAGUGGUGUCGUGACCUCUCAACAGACACUCAAAACGCUCGGGUGUGAGUACAGAGUUGGCUCUGAGAACUGUUUAAAAGGACUUGGAUUGUAUUGUCAUUAUUUUAUUAAUCUUUAAAAUUAGCAUUGAUAUAAAAAGUCCCAUCUUUAUAAAGUGUGUUUAACAGCACAAAUCAUCUCAUCUGUUGUUGUUUCAGCUAAAAUUAGGCAAAGUUUAUUAAUCCAAUCCAACUUUGAGCUUUAUUUGUAUAGCACAUUUUACAAACAAAACAGUUUCCAAAGUGCUUCACAUAGCUAUGCAACAUUUUACUUUAAAAAGAGAAAAAAAAAAUCUGCAAAAUUAUGUUUAAUAAAGACAGAAAAAUAAAUAAAAUAAUAAUAAUAAAAUCAAUGAACAAAAAUAAUAAAAUCAAUACAUAAAAGCAGUACAAAAAAAAAAAAGAUAAAAACUAUAAAUAAAUAAAUAAAUUAAUUAAUUAAUUAAUAAAAUAAAAGACACAGAGGACCACACAACUCAAGCUGUAUUAAAAGCCAGAGAAUAAAAGUGGGUCUUAAGACGAGACUUAAAACUCUCCACUGUGGGGGCUGUUCGGACGUGGGGGGGCAGAGCGUUCCAGAGUUUGGGGCCGGCGACAAAGACGGCCCUGUCCCCCCUGGUUUUAAGUCUUGUUUUGGGGACCAGAAGCUGGAGCUGGCCCUCGGACCUCAAAGUGCGUGCGGGAGUAUAAAUUUGGAUGAGGUCUGAGAUGUAUUGUGGGGCCAGUCCAUUCAAAGCUUUAAAAACAAAUAAUAAAAUCUUAAAAUCAAUUCUAAAAUUAACAGGAAGCCAGUGCAGCGAUGCAAGAAUUGAGGUAAUGUGAUCACGCUUUUUUGUUUUCUGUUAAAAGACGCGCAGCUGAGUUCUGGACUAACUGCGAGCGAUGAAGUGCGUAUUAAAACAAAGAUCAGAUUAAAUUCUACCUUGAGUAACAGAGCUUCAGACAGAGAAGAGCCUACAGUUAGCAUCAUACGCCCAGAGAAUGUUGAUGCCUUCAGCUGAAAGUCUGUUUUACUUAUCAGGUAGGAGAAUGAUGCGGGGGCCUGUCCACAGAUAAAAUAGGAGUCGCUAGGGAGAAAAAAGGUUGAGAACCAGUGAAAUAGACAAUCGAUGAAUUCUGUGUGUGUAUUCUUCCACUCACAGUAGAGACUAAAGAGAAUAGUGCUUAUUGAGUCCAUAUGUUCCACCUGCUGAUGGCUCAUAAUUGCUCCACUUAAACUGUGACAGGUUCAACACUGAAGAUCACAGGAGCAGCCUUUAAUGGGCAGGUGGCUGUGGUUAGCUGCCGUGAGAUGCUGUUUUACAAACUUUAUUUAAAUGAUCCGGCCCCAUUUUUGUGUCUUGUGUCUGUGUUGUCCCCGGGUUUGGCCUGACAGGAGCUGACAGGGGCAGAGAUGUCGGGUGGGGCAGGGUCACGUACACAUCAUCCAUCUUCAGGCCUGACAGGUGCGGGGGUUUGACAGGUGCGGGGGCUGUCACAGUGGACACAGGGAGGUGUUGUUGUGUAAUUAGGAACGUGUUAAAAGCAGGAAACACUGAGCUCUGUGCAGCAGGACGCUCCCCUCUGAGACACAUGUGUAUGAGACACUAGUGAGUGAGAGACACAUGUAUGAGACACAUUUUGGUCAUCAAAAUGUGCAAAGUUUCCAUUCAUAAAUUCUAAAAGAAAGUUUUACCUUUACUGUCUAAAACUCUGAAUGGACCACUGAAUCCUUCUAAACUGUGUUUUCAUUUGAAGAAUUGCACUAAAUGGCAUAGUAUAUGUAUAUAUGUAUAUACACAGUGAAGUGGCUCAGUUUCAGAGCUUUUGUGAAGGUGGGAGGAACAAUCCCAGCUCCAAUGACGGUAUACUCUAAUACUCUAAUACUCAUACUCAUAAUAAUGCAUUAUAGACUACAUAGAGUUUUACAGUUUGGUGCAUUAUUCCUUCACUCCACACUUGGUUAGGCUUCUAUUGUAGCCACAGCUGGCCUGGGGCAAACAGAUGGAAGUGAGACUGCCAAUCUGCCCAAUUUGCCCCUCUGACCACUACCAGCACUGCCACUGCUGUCCAAAUACACCUCCUGGUACUCUCAAACUUUAUAUCACUUAAUCCUGUGUAUGCCUGUUUGUAUGUCCUGUUCUGUCUAUGUAUAUCUGUUUGUGGGCAUACACAAGUACAACAGAUGAAAACGAGUCUUGGGUUAUAUACUUAAUACUGCUAUGGUGUGUGUUUCCAGACAUUAUAUACUUAAUACUUGUAUGGUGUGUGUUUCCAGACAUUAUAUACUUAAUACUUGUAUGGUGUGUGUUUCCAGACGGCGCUGCACUGGGCGGCCAAACACGGCAACAAAGACAUGGCCACUUUAGUGGCUGAAGCCGGAGCAGACGUCAACACAAAAUCACAUGUAAGUACCAGGAUGUUGGGCCCUUGGGUGCUCGUCUCCCUCGGUGACGUAAUGAACCUCCAGCUGUGCAAAUGUAUUACAGCAGCUCGUGUUUGAGGCUCUGCUAAUAAAUCAUGUCGUGUCAUCUUAAUUGUUUCCCAAAACAGAGCGUCGCCAUUGAAAACGAAAGCAAUUUUCACUGAAUUGGCCGAGCAAUUAUGUUUUUAAUCAUUAUCUGGUGUUGUCUUAACCUUUACUAAUUUGUAUCUUUUUUUCACACUCAUGUUUUGAUUGGCUGUUCCUGCGCCUGGGAAACUAAAGGGGGGAUACACGCCUUUGCACAUCGCAGCCUUACAUGGACAUCGCCAUAUCCUAGACCUGCUCGUGGGGACUUAUGGAGCUAAAGAAAACCUGAGGGACUACAGCGGCCAUCUCGCUUUCCACUAUCUCAACAUCAAGGAACCCGAAGUGUCGGAGGAGGAAUGUGACAUACAGUACGCAGUGACCCAGGCCCGCGAGCGCCACAGGAACAGGAAGCUGGCGUCUCUGUUUUCCUCCAAGAAGAAGUGGGGAUCUGCUGAAGAGUUAGCCCCGAUCGAAGAGGAGCGGACUGGGAUGCAGCAGCUGCCUCUGCCCCCCUUCAGGCCGCGGAAGUUCUCACGCUGAGACUGAACUUCAUGUAAAUACAAGAACAUUGUUUUGAUAGGGAAAAAUGGAAGUGUUAAAAGCUGAAGCAUUAAAGCACUAAACGGAAUUACAACACACAAGAACGCAACUCGAAACUGCUCCAUCACCAAAAUCAUUGUGGCUUUCCUCAGAAGAAUUUCUGUUUGAAAAAUAUUUUACAAUGGGUUUCAUUUGUUACCUGACCUCAAACAUGAUUAUAUAAUAGUUAAGAUAUUUUUGAAGCUUCCCAUUGGCUUGCCUGGCAAAUCCAAAAUGUACUUUCUCUGUAUUUUUUAUACUGAGGGAUCAGUCUGGUCCCCACUCCCUCUGUCACAUCUCGAAUCGUCCAAUCAGAUUUGUUUUUUUCAGUGACACAUAGGGAUGGGUAUUUGAUUAAAUCUUCUUAAUUGAUCAUUAAUUGAGAAUUAACGAUUGAUUUUGAUUAAUCAUUGAAAUUUUUUAUAUAAAAAAUAUCAUUUUAUUAUUAUUAUUAAUCUGCAUAAAUAAAUACAACUUUAAAACAUAUAAACCAUUACUACUAGAGUCACAUCAGCAUUUGAUAAUAUAAUUCAGCUUUGUGCACAUUUGUUUAUGUUUUACAGAAACUAAACUUAAAACCGCAUGGCUCAUUUGCAUAAACUGCAAGCCUGAAAAAAAAACAGCUCACUCCUUGUGCCCUGAUGCAGUUCAGCUUCUGUUUGACUAUAGAGGAUGUUGAUGAUGCUGGUGGUGAGUCUGUUCCGUGUGUAUCACAGAUUGGAGAUGGUUCAUGUUAAAAAUUUCAGAGAUCAUACAUGUGCAGGUUGUACGAGUGCAGAUUGUACAUGUGCUGAACAGAACAAACUGGAAUACUCAAAAAACUCGAUCAUACCCGGGACACUGAUGUGCAGUAAACACACUCACUGAGUGGUACAGUGUCUCCAAGGAGCCAGAGCCCAAACGUGGAACUGUGAGGCACAACUCCAGUGUUUGUUUCACACACAGCCUUGUCUCCUUACACUACGCAUAGCAACCUACAUUCAGUUUGUCGAUUAAAAAUGAACAUGACUGGCGAAAUUCUUAAUGAUCAAUUAUUGAUUAGUUGACUAAACAUGCCCAUCCCUAGUGACACAUUUGUUUAUUUCAGUGACACAUUUAUUUAUUAUUAUUAUGAUACAGAUCGUUUCCCUCACCUCAGAUUAACAGACCUGAUUUGACGAUUCUGCAGAAAUUUGCGACUUUUUUCAGUCCCAUGUGAUAUUUUUUCUCUGAUCCUCCAUCUAAACUCAGGGGCAUUCAACAGAGACCAGACUCACAUCUUCAUAAAAUAUUGAGUUAGUUUGUGUAUUCUGGAUCUCAGGCAAUGCCACUGGAGCAGAUCAUUGUUAAAGGGAAUGACAUUUUGACAAAACUGGCUGCAAUGUUUGAUUUAAAAAAAGUUCCGUCAUUGUUUGAAUUUGAAGAGAUCAGUAUUCUCAAUGUGUACAUUUUUGUUUUCCAUUAACGUGAAUAGUGGACUGUUUACUUCCACUGUUACUUUCAGGAGCAUGUAAGAUCAGCUUUACUCUGCAUACUCUGCUUUUAUUAUUGAAAUUUACUUUAAUGGGCUAGUUAGUAUGACUUGCUUUUGAUAUACGUUUUGAUUGUUUCUCUUUAUAAAUUAUCUAAAAAAUAUAUAGGCCUACUGUUCUUAUGUCAAAGGCAAAAUUCUUAUCUCAGACCUAUACUCUGACUUCAAAUCACAGUCAAAUAAAAAAUAAAUCCACCUAAUGAGUCAAAACUACUCAAACCAAUGUAUUCUGAAUUCAAAUAAUUUAAACUUUGUUGUGUAUAUUGAAUUCCUUUUAAAGAUUUUAAAGCCAUGCCAUGAUGUUACUGUUUUAAUCUGUAUUAUUAUUAUUAUUUUGAAAUCAAUUAUAAGCUUAUUGUACGAGGUAUGAUAACAAGUUUGAAAUGCAUUCCUUUGUUUUGACCGUAAUGUCUUUUGUCAUUUUGUUAUACAUUGCAAAAACAAUAUACAGUAUCUACAUAAGUUAAAAUGAUUUCACAAUAAUUUUCUUGUUUCUUUUCAAUGUGUUUUUGUCAUCUUUUGUUGUUUAAAGGUCCAAUAUCACACAAAAUUAACUCUAAUGUGAGCUUUAAAUCAUGUUUUAAUGUUGUUACCUCAUCAAAAACAGACCUGGAGUUAUGUUUUGUUUCAUUCACACAUGUUUGAGUAAUCCUGGUCCACUAAAUUUUUUCAGUUUGAGAGAAGAACUCAGGAAACUAAAUUUGAAAUACCGUAUUUUCCACACCAUAGGACGCGCUGUUAAGCCUCCAGCCCCUCUUAAGUGCCCCACAAUCCAGAGCGCCCUAUACACGAAUCCACUCGGGUGUCCCAGCACGACUUCAGUAAACUACAAAGCCACAAAACCUACAGCGCACGCAAACACGCACAGAGCAGACAGCGACCGCACAGCGAAAAAACACCCGCCACACUCAUCACUCCACGCAGACGAGGAAUGGAACAGAAGAACGAACUGAAAAAGCGAGUGCAAUGUGCCACUUCUAGCCACAACUGAACAACUGAGUCACUGCGAACACGCCGACAAUCCGUUGGUCCCAGACAGCACCCUCCCUACACGCCACAACUGAACAAAGCCCAGAGUCACCGUGAACGCCACAAACAAAGUCCCACUGGCCCAUCCAACUGUUGUGUUUCGUUUAAUGCGCCUUGAAAAAAGUUUGAAAAUAGACCAUUCAAUGACAGUGCUCCUUAUAAUCCAGAGCGCCUAAUAGUGCGGAAAAUAUGGUAUUUGUGUGUUAAACACGUGUGAAUGAAACAAAACACAACUCCAGGUGUGUUUGUGGUGAGGAAACAUUAUAACAUAGGUCAGAAAAUAGCAUAAUAUGGGAGCUUCACUGCAAAAAUCAAUAUCUAAGUAAGUUAAAAUGACUUAAAUUAAGAAUGUUUUACUUUAUUUGAGUCGAUUCAACUUGAAAAGUAAAAUGAUCUACCAAUGGAAUAAGUGUGUUUUCCUUAAUUCAAGCAACAUUUGAUUUUGUUUCUUAUUUUAAGUGCAAAAAGUUGUGUUCUUUCUUAUUUUAAGUGCAGCAAGAUGUAGUUUCAUAUUUUAAAACAAAAAGUCUUGUUCCAUUGGCAGAUUAUUUUAUUUGUUGAUUUAAAUUUACUCAAAUCAUUGUCAAACUUUGUUAAUCCAAAUGAUUUUAACUUGUCUAGAUUUUUGUUUUUGCAGUGUUUAAAGUCAUUUUGGUGGAGAUGUUUCCAUGGAGAUGUUAUCGAUUGCUUGGAAUGUUCCACAGUAUGACAUUAAACUUCAGUACCUCCACAGAGACCAACGAUUGACACCACCAGGCCAAAUUACUGGUCAGAUCUGUGGAGAUGUAAACCCCCACUCCCACCAACCAAAUACUUGUCAAAACUAUUCAAAUUAAAAUAAGUUCUCAGUGCAACUUUUACAGUGUAUGCCGGUUGUUUUAUUGCCCUCGUUUGAAAACCGUGUUGUUUUAAAUCUGUUACAAGUACUUUUACGACUUCUCUGCAGAUUUCUGUUGUGAUUUCACUCUUGCGUCAUUGACUUUUGGCUUUUGUCCCCUGAUUUAUGGCCCCUGUUGUUCGUCUCAGCUAAUUGGGCUCAUUGCAUUUGACCCGCCUUGAUAUUGACGCCGUUACAGAUCUUUUCAGGUUUUUUAUUGUGGUAAUUUCACUGAAAGAAAAUGUAAUCUCUUGUUUACAUCGCUAUAAGAUUGUAAAAGAAACACUUGCCUUAUCAACUAUUUGCACAGUAUUUAUUUAAUGAAUAUAUUUUGAUAAUAAAAUGCAUUGUAAACUUGUAA